rnacentral:rRNA from 1 species
UACGUAGGGUGCAAGCGUUAAUCGGAAUUACUGGGCGUAAAGCGUGCGCAGGCGGUUGUGCAAGACAGAUGUGAAAUCCCCGGGCUUAACCUGGGAAUUGCAUUUGUGACUGCACGGCUAGAGUGUGUCAGAGGGGGGUAGAAUUCCACGUGUAGCAGUGAAAUGCGUAGAUAUGUGGAGGAAUACCGGUGGCGAAGGCAGCCCCCUGGGAUAACACUGACGCUCAUGCACGAAAGCGUGGGGAGCAAACAGG